rnacentral:rRNA from 1 species
AACGAACGCUGGCGGCAGGCUUAACACAUGCAAGUCGAGCGCCCCGCAAGGGGAGCGGCAGACGGGUGAGUAACGCGUGGGAAUACCCAUCUCUACGGAAUAACGCAUGGAAACGUGUGCUAAUACCGUAUACGUCCUUCGGGAGAAAGAUUUAUCGGAGAUGGAUGAGCCCGCGUUGGAUUAGCUAGUUGGUGGGGUAAAGGCCUACCAAGGCGACGAUCCAUAGCUGGUCUGAGAGGAUGAUCAGCCACACUGGGACUGAGACACGGCCCAGACUCCUACGGGAGGCAGCAGUGGGGAAUAUUGGACAAUGGGCGCAAGCCUGAUCCAGCCAUGCCGCGUGAGUGAUGAAGGCCCUAGGGUUGUAAAGCUCUUUCACCGGUGAAGAUAAUGACGGUAACCGGAGAAGAAGCCCCGGCUAACUUCGUGCCAGCCGCCGCUGUAAGAC